rnacentral:rRNA from 1 species
GACGAACGCUGGCGGCGUGCCUAAUACAUGCAAGUAGAACGCUGAAGAGAGGAGCUUGCUCUUCUUGGAUGAGUUGCGAACGGGUGAGUAACGCGUAGGUAACCUGCCUUGUAGCGGGGGAUAACUAUUGGAAACGAUAGCUAAUACCGCAUAACAAUGGAUGACACAUGUCAUUUAUUUGAAAGGGGCAAUUGCUCCACUACAAGAUGGACCUGCGUUGUAUUAGCUAGUAGGUGAGGUAAUGGCCCACCUAGGCGGCGAUACAUAGCCGACCUGAGAGGGUGAGCGGCCACACUGGGACUGAGACACGGCCCAGACUCCUACGGGAGGCAGCAGUAGGGAAUCUUCGGCAAUGGGGGCAACCCUGACCGAGCAACGCCGCGUGAGUGAAGAAGGUUUUCGGAUCGUAAAGCUCUGUUGUAAGUCAAGAACGGGUGUGGGAGUGGAAAGUUCACACUGUGACGGUAGCUUACCAGAAAGGGACGGCUAACUACGUG